rnacentral:rRNA from 1 species
AGCAUCCUACGGGGGGCAGCAGUGGGGAAUAUUGCACAAUGGGGGAAACCCUGCUGCAGCAACGCCGCGUGAGUGAAGAAGUAUUUCGGUAUGUAAAGCUCUAUCAGCAGGGAAGAAGAUGACGGUACCUGAGUAAGAAGCCCCGGCUAACUACGUGCCAGCAGCCGCGGUAAUACGUAGGGGGCGAGCGUUAUCCGGAUUUACUGGGUGUAAAGGAGGCGUAGGAGGCAUGGUAAGCCAGAAGUGAACA